rnacentral:rRNA from 1 species
UUCGAAAUCUUAGCCUACCAUGCAGUCGAACGGCAGCAUAGUAAGAGCUUGCUCUUAUGGGUGGCGAGUGGCGGACGGGUGAGGAAUACAUCGGAAUCUACUUUUUCGUGGGGGAUAACGUAGGGAAACUUACGCUAAUACCGCAUACGACCUACGGGUGAAAGCAGGGGAUCUUCGGACCUUGCGCGAUUGAAUGACCCGAUGUCGGAUUAGCUAGUUGGCGGGGUAAAGGCCCACCAAGGCGACGAUCCGUAGCUGGUCUGAGAGGAUGAUCACCCACACUGGAACUGACACACGGUCCACACUCCUACGGGGGGCAACAGUGGGGAAUAUUGGACAAUGGGCGCACGCCUGAUCCAACCAUACCGCGUGAGUGAACAAGGCCUUCGGGUUUA